UCUGCUGAAGUCAAGGAGCCCAGCGUGCCUGGGAAAUGUGAAAGGACCAAGACAACUUAGGGGUGGCUGAAGCUGUUGUUCCCCAUGUCCUCUGAGAUGUGGAAUUUAAUUGGAGCUGACAGAUGAACCUACCAUGUCAGGAGACAGCUGCCUUGGGUCUGCCUAGAAGCUUGGUGUCAAGGAAAGAAUGGUGGACUUGAAGACAGAAGUCUUGGAUUCAAAUGUCAGCCCCAACACAGUGUGACCAUGGAGAAGUUGCUUAACUUUCCUGAAUAUCACUUUCAUUGUCUGAAUAUCAAAGGCAGGAAAUGAGUGCCACAGAAGCUAUGUGAAUGUCUGAAAAUUUAUAUUAAUUUUGCACAAAAUGAAAAUUAUGUUGAAAAAUAUUUAAAUAAAUCAUAUUAUUAUAUUAUUGACA
rnacentral:lncRNA from 1 species